GACGAACGCUGGCGGCGUGCCUAAUACAUGCAAGUUGAGCGCUGAAGGUUGGUACUUGUACCAACUGGAUGAGCAGCGAACGGGUGAGUAACGCGUGGGGAAUCUGCCUUUGAGCGGGGGACAACAUUUGGAAACGAAUGCUAAUACCGCAUAAAAACUUUAAACACAAGUUUUAAGUUUGAAAGAUGCAAUUGCAUCACUCAAAGAUGAUCCCGCGUUGUAUUAGCUAGUUGGUGAGGUAAAGGCUCACCAAGGCGAUGAUACAUAGCCGACCUGAGAGGGUGAUCGGCCACAUUGGGACUGAGACACGGCCCAAACUCCUACGGAAGGCAGCAGUAGGGAAUCUUCGGCAAUGGACGAAAGUCUGACCGAGCAACGCCGCGUGAGUGCAGAAGGUUUUCGGAUCGUAAAACUCUGUUGGUAGAGAAGAACGUUGGUGAGAGUGGAAAGCUCAUCAAGUGACGGUAACUACCCAGAAAGGGACGGCUAACUACGUG
rnacentral:rRNA from 1 species